AAUCACCCAAAACCGACAGAGAUUCUUAGAACGUUGGGGUCACGAAGAUACAUCCGGAUAUCAUGGUGUAAAACACUCUGAGCCAUGUCCGAUCAAAGUCGGAAGCAUCAUCGACCGGUCGGUCUCAGAUAAAUCCUCAAAAAACCGUCAAACAAAUGCUCAAAAGAGACACCGAUAUGCAAAUAAACAUGAUCGGAUCGUUGUAAGGCUCUGAUACCAUGUCAAUAUUCAGAUUAACCGAGAAAAUCACAGAGAAUCUAGAGAGGGAAAGUAGAGGGAAGGAGGAGAGAUUGACAGAACCGAAGAAUCGGUAUUGGGAAAUGAAAUAAAAAUCUGAUCUCUAGAAGCUACUUCUCACCUAACUAUACAGAUGUAUAUACAAAAUAACAAACUGGGCGGGUCGGAUAUUGGGUAGGAGACCCGGGCUCAGAUAUGACCCAUUAGGCUCAUAAGUNNN
rnacentral:lncRNA from 1 species